AUGUAUUGCGGUAAAAGCCGUGAUGCUACCAUUGUGCUUGAGGCCGUAGCAUCAGAGGACACAUGGAUUUGGCAUGCAUUCUUUGGGUUGCCGGGAACACUCAAUGAUAUCGAUGUCCUCAAUAGAUCUCAUUUGUUCAAAAGAUUAAUUUCUGGGGAUGCUCUAGCUUGCAACUACAAAAUCAUGGACAAUGAGUACUCAAUGGGAUACUAUCUCACCGAUGGCAUCUAUCCCGAAUGGGCAACUCUUGUGAAGUCCAUCAAGGAGAAAAAUGGGGUGCCCUUAACAAGAAAAGAGGCUCAUUUCACCAAGGCAUAA
rnacentral:rRNA from 1 species